CUCCUUUUCUUUCUCUUUACUUGGUUCCCCUUUAGUUGGUGGCCUUCUCUUGGUCCAUUAUCUUUUUCUUCUCAUGAACCAUCUGAAUUUUCUAGUGAUCAGGGCCAUGUCCUCAUCUUCUUCGCUGUUAUCUGAGUCAUCUUCUUCUUGAGCUGUUGACUUAAAGGCUAUGAUCAUCUUUCCUCGGAUUUCCUCCUCAGUGUACUGCUUCUGAAGGAACCAGAUCUAGGGUUUCAGGAUUAGAUCUUGAAAUUUUUUCAAGAUCAGACAGCGGAAGACUAAAAUAAAUCAAAAUUUAUCUUAUAAAACUAGAAAAUUCCUAAAUCUAAGAUCCUAUUACAUGAUUAUUAUAUGGUAUUAAAUUAGAAAUUAAAAUAUAAAGAGCAAGAACUACAUGUUGAUCAUAUCAACAUGUUUCUAUACUAUAUCUAAUGUAUGUAAAAUAUAAUAGAUCAGAUCUAUUACCUUGUAAGUUAGAUAUUCUAACUUUAUUGAUCCAAACUUGAGGAUGAUGUUGCGAGCCGCACACGCAUUCAGCCUCUAGGAGUCGUCCAUACGAGCCCAUGAAUCAUGAUCAGAAGUCUUGGUCCAGAAAACCAGCAUAGUAUGUUAGUACUGUACUGAUCUUUCUUUGAUGGUCGAUCAGAUACCUCAUUCUUCUUGAUUUAGACUCAUCUAAAGAUGAGAAAUAGGAGGAGUUUUAGAUGUGAGAUACUCUUAGAAAACUCACAGAUGGAGGAAGGAAAGAGGUGAACUCAGCAACCUUAGAAAAAGAGGAUCUUAACCCA
rnacentral:lncRNA from 1 species